AUGGCCACGCCGGAGGCAGACGUCGGCGCCCCCGUGAGCGUGACGGCGCCGAUGAUGCUGCACGGGCGCGUGGCGAUCGUCACGGGCGGCGCCGGCGGCAUUGGCUCGGCCGUGUCGAGGCACCUGGCGUCCCUCGGCGCGCGCGUGGCCGUCGCCUACGUCGGGGACCCGGCGCCCGCGCGGGACCUCGUGGCCGCCAUCAACGCCGCCCCCGAGCACGGCGCUUCUGACCCUGGAGGCCCGCGCGCCGUGGCGGUGGAGGCGGACGUGUCGGACGCGGCGCAGGUGCGGGCGCUGUUCGACGCGGCGGCGGCGGCGUUCGGCGGGGAGCUGCACGUGCUGGUCACGGCGGCGGCGGUGAUGGACACCUCCUACCCGCCGCUGGCCGACACCAGCGAGGCGGCCUACGACGCGGCCUUCGGCACCAACGCGCGGGGCACCUUCCUGUGCCUCCGCGAGGCGGCGCGCCGGCUGGCCCGCGACGGGCGGGGGCGGAUCGUCACCUUCUCGUCGUCCGGGGUCGGGUCGCUGCGCCCGGGCUACGCGGCGUACGCGGCCAGCAAGGCGGCCGUGGAGACCAUGACGAGGAUCCUGGCGCGGGAGCUGCGGGGCACCGGGAUCACCGCCAACGCCGUGGCCCCGGGGUCCACGGCCACGCCCAUGUUCUACGGCGGCAAGACGGACGAGGAGGCCGAGCGGUACAUCGCGGAGGCGCCGCUGGGGAGGCUGGGGAUGCCCGAGGACAUCGCGCCGCUUGUGGGCUUCCUCGCCAGCGACGCCGGCGGGUGGGUCAACGCCCAGGUCCUGCGCUGCAACGGCGGCACCAUAUGA
rnacentral:rRNA from 1 species